rnacentral:rRNA from 1 species
GAUGAACGCUGGCGGCGUGCCUAAUACAUGCAAGUCGAGCGAACGGACGAGAAGCUUGCUUCUCUGAUGUUAGCGGCGGACGGGUGAGUAACACGUGGAUAACCUACCUAUAAGACUGGGAUAACUUCGGGAAACCGGAGCUAAUACCGGAUGAUAUUUUGAACCGCAUGGUUCAAAAGUGAAAGACGGUCUUGCUGUCACUUAUAGAUGGAUCCGCGCUGCAUUAGCUAGUUGGUAAGGUAACGGCUUACCAAGGCAACGAUGCAUAGCCGACCUGAGAGGGUGAUAGGCCACACUGGAACUGAGACACGGUCCAGACUCCUAAGGGAGGCAGCAGUAGGGAAUCUUCCGCAAUGGGCGAAAGCCUGACGGAGCAACGCCGCGUGAGUGAUGAAGGUCUUCGGAUCGUAAAACUCUGUUAUUAGGGAAGAACAUAUGUGUAAGUAACUGUGCACAUCUUGACGGUACCCAAUCAGAAAGCCACGGCUAACUACGUG